rnacentral:rRNA from 1 species
GGGUACCGGGGGGACCUCUAGAGAUAGAGUUUGAUCCUGGCUCAGAAUGAACGCUGGCGGCGUGGAUUAGGCAUGCAAGUCGAACGGGAUGUUUUGGACCCGCAAGGGUUUAAAACAUUUAGUGGCAAAAGGGUGAGUAACACGUGGGUAAUUUACCCUUGAAACUGGGAUAACCUCGCGAAAGUGGGGCUAAUACCGGAUAAGCUCACAAGCUCUUCGGAGCAAGGGAGAAAAGGGGGGGACCUUUCGGGGCCUUCCAUUCAAGGAUAAGCCUGCGUCCUAUUAGCUAGUUGGUAGGGUAACGGCCUACCAAGGCGAUGAUGGGUAGCCGAGCUGAGAGGCUGACCGGCCACAUUGGGACUGAUACACUGCCCAAACUCCUACGGGAGGCUGCAGUCGAGAAUCUUUCGCAAUGGGGGAAACCCUGACGAAGCGACGCCGCGUGAGGGAUGACUGCCUUCGGGUUGUAAACCUCUGUUGCAUAGGACGAAUCGUAUAGGAAUGAAUAAUUCUUAUACCUGACGGUACUGUGCGAGGAAGCCCCGGCUAAACUCGUGCCAGCAGCCGCGGUAAUACGAGUGGGGCGAGCGUUAUUCGGAUUUACUGGGUGUAAAGGGCGUGUAGGCGGCCUGGUAUGUUAGAUGUGAAAUCCCUCGGCUUACCCGAGGAACGGCAUCUAAAACUACUGGGCUUGAGUAUCGGAGAGGAAAGCGGAAUUCCUGGUGUAGCGGCGAAAUGCGUAGAUAUCAGGAGGAACGCCGGUGGCGAAAGCGGCUUUCUGGACGAAUACUGACGCUGAGUGCGCGAAAGCCAGGGGAGCGAACGGGAUUAGAUACCCCGGUAGUCCUGGCCCUAAACGAUGGGUACUUGGUGUAGGAGGCAUCGACCCCUUCUGUGCCGGAGCUAACGUGUUAAGUACCCCACCUGGGGAGUACGGUCGCAAGGCUGAAACUCAAAGGAAUUGACGGGGACCCGCACAAGCGGUGGAGCAUGUGGUUUAAUUCGACGAUAAGCGCGGAACCUUACCCAGGCUUGACAUGCUAGUGGUAAGAACCUGAAAAGGGGAUGAUCCCGUAAGGGAAGCUAGCACAGGUGUUGCAUGGCUGUCGUCAGCUCGUGUUGUGAAAUGUUGAGUUAAGUCUCGCAACGAGCGCAACCCUCGUCCUUAGUUACCAGCACUUCAGGUGGGAACUCUAAGGAGACUGCCCUCAUCAAGAGGGAGGAAGGUGAGGAUGACGUCAAGUCGUUAUGGCCCUUACGCCUGGGGCUACACACGUGCUACAAUGGCCGGUACAAUGGGUUGCAAUACCGCGAGGUGGAGCCAAUCCCAAAAACUGGCCUCAGUUCGGAUUGAAGGCUGCAAUUCGCCUUCAUGAAGCCGGAAUCGCUAGUAAUGGCAGAUCAGCAACGUUGCCGUGAAUACGUUCCCGGGUCUUGUACACACCGCCCGUCAAGCCACCUGAGUUAAGUGCACCCGAAGUCACUGUACUAACCCGCAAGGGGAGAAAGUGCCGAAGGUGUGCUUAGUAAGGGGGACUAAGUCGUAACAAGGUAACCAAUCGU